rnacentral:lncRNA from 1 species
CUUCCAUCGCUGUGGUCCACUGAAGGACGGCAGACGUGUAAUUUCUCACCAACUGGUAGAUUCAGGAGAUUUUUAUUUAUUAUUUUUAUAUAAAAGUUUACCUCGAUGCUGUUUUAAAGAAAGUUACUGCUAAAUUAAAAGGUUCAUUUUUACGUUAGAGGUUCUGAUUUAUGGUACUAAAAUAAUACACAUUUAUACAUACGUCUGAGGAUAAAUGGAAUACAUCUGCUUUCAUGACAAACAUUUGAUAAAAUUUAAAUCUUCUUUUAACAAAUUUUGGUCAAGUUUAUCUACCUCAACCUUUUCUCAGCCAUUGAUGGACGACAAGUAAGCCAUCGGCUGUCCGUGCUUCAGUAACUUAAUCAUAAUAAUAGUUCCCAUCUCAAACAACCGCUUUAAAGACAAAAAAGAGAUAUUGAUGUAAACUACUUAGCAGAGUGCCUGGCCAAUGGUAAGCCUGGUUUUCAGCAAAUGGGACGGUAUCGUUGUAUCGGCAUUCUUUUUACAAAGGAGGGGACAAAGAUUGAAGAUUGUGCAUCUCCAAGAUCUUGAACAUGCGGUUUUGCCUUCUGGCAUGUCUAUGAAAGAAAGGAGACUCCAGAUGAUGUUUUCUUCCUUCAGGACUGGGAGGGGGUUACUCUUUCUUCUGCUGGAAGAGGAGAGAAAAAUGACAUGUGGGAAGGAAUAAAGAGCAGCAAAAAGGACCAGUAUCCUGAAAAAAUUCCUGAUUAUUAGAGAUACAUUGUCACUGAACUCUGAUACAGAAUUGGAGUAUCAUCCCACAUUGAUAAGAAUCUCACACUUUUCAAAACAAAUCAAAUUGAUUAAAAAUAUUGGC